UGACCGUCCGUACACUUCUCCUCCAGCCACACAGCUACUGGUUUCCUGGCCAAUGGAGAAACCUGCACGACUCGCCCUGCAGUACGUCGACUGCGCGUAGUUCCCCAGCCUUUGCCAUCAGUCACGUGCGAUGGAUUUUCUUACGCCCUGCCGUGUCCCACACGGAUGACGUUCAUCGCCUGCUGUUCCCCGCGGCUGACCGUCCGUACACUUCUCCUCCAGCCACACAGCUACUGGUUUCCUGGCCAAUGGAGAAACCUGCACGACUCGCCCUGCAGUACGUCGACUGCGCGUAGUUCCCCAGCCUUUGCCAUCAGUCACGUGCGAUGGAUUUUCUUACGCCCUGCCGUGUCCCACACGGAUGACUUUCAUCGCCUGCUGUUCCCCGCGGAUGACCGUCCGUACACUUCUCCUCCAGCCACACAGCUACUGGUUUCCUGGCCAAUGGAGAAACCUGCACGACCCACCUUGCAGUACGUCGACUGCGCGUAGGUAAAUCCGAGUUAUUCUGGCCCGUGCUGUGGCGUUGUGCUGACGAAUGCUUAACAUGACGCCUCCUUGUCGUUUCAGUUCCCCAG